GACGACAUCAAUAACGGAAUUCCAGAUCUAGGUUUUGCAACCCGAGACCGCGAGAGAGAACGGCGAAAGCGAUGGAGAUCGAAGCUCAGGCAGCACAGGGCGUGGGAAGCGCGUUUGGUGGCGGAGGCGAGAGCUGCGUGGGAGAGGAAGGCAAAGGGGGAGGUAGAGGAUGGCGACGAACCCUAUUCUUUUAUGGGAGCUACCUGCAUUUUUGCCAGGCGGCCUUCUUGCAAGCAAUCAGACAAGCGAUGAGUUUCAUGAGACAUUACAAAGGUUGCAUGGAGGGUAAAUAAAGGUACAUUGGUUUGACUCCUAGUUUUAUCACUAUGACUACUAAUGUAGCAUCCUCUGCCAAUUUUAGUUGCAGUAACCCAGCCCUGAUGCUCCCCUAACUAGUAAGCAAUCCUGGCUAUCUAUGCUAUUUCAACACAACAGCAUGUUUGAUGAAAAUAUUAUGGAAGUCAAAAUUGAAUCUAAGAUAGACAGAUUUCUCAAUAUAUCGAAAAUGAACCCAAUCUGAUCUUGUGCUUCAUAUAUUCUUUGUGUUGAUGAUUUUUAUACUGACCUGUUUAGCUAUAUGCUUAAUUCCCUUCGAUUUAUGACCAGGUGCUUUUUGUUUCCCCUGAAAGAUUCUUUAAUGAAGAAUUUCUGCUAAUAUUUAGGAAUGGGCUACCAAUAUGUCUAGUUGCUAUUGAUGAAGCUCACUUCAUUUCUGAAUGGUGAGUUGAUAUGUCCUUGAGUUCAAUUGAGAUACUGUAUGCUGUUCUUUGCAGUUAGUACCAAAGCUUUUCUCUUUUCUGCUUUCUAUCUGCUUGUUUUAUUUGACACAUCCUAUGAUCGUUGUUGUUCUUCUCUCUUCUUGCUUAUAUGUGCUUGCUCUGCUCUGCUCAUUACUUAUUGUUAGUUCAACAAUGUUUAUGUCUUGAUAUUGAGCUAUGGGAAGGUCUCAUAAUUUUAGACCUUUGUAUCUAAGGCUCCUCGUGUUACUACUUCGAAGAAAACUUAAUGUUCAAUAUAUUCUUGCAAUGAAUGCAACUGCGACAACUCAAACCUUGGAGGAGAUGUGACUGCCUUAGAAAUACCAUCUGAUAACCUCAUUAAAGCAUCUUAAAAUAAGGGGCAAUCUGCAGCUGUCUAUCAGCACGAGCAAUAGUAGACUGAAGGAUCUAUUGCUGACUUGCUGUUGUUGAAGUCUUCACCUUUUGUUGACAUGAAAGUAUAAUUGUCUAUUGCAAGCUUCAGGUGAUUCACUAUAGCUUGCCAGAAAGCUGAGAAGAAUACAUACAGGAAACUGGGCACGCUGGGAGGGAUGGGCGAUUGUCAUAUUGUCAUAUACUUCUUGAUUCAACAACAUUCUAUAAGAGCCGUAGUCUGAAUGGUAUUUUUUGAAGUAAUGCAUCACAUCAUCUGUAUCGAAAAUAGGAUUCUGUGGGAAAAAAUAGCUAUUAGACUGCAGUUAUGCCAAUAAAAUACUGAAUAACGGUUACCCCAGUAAAUUUUACAUGACUUUAUUCACCACUAGGAAUUCAUGUAGAUAAUGCGCAUCUAGUUUUUAAGAAAAUACGUACAUAUAUUCAUGACUCCAUACCUGCUGAUCUGUGAUAUAACCUGGUGGUCCUAUAUAAUCUGUCUUGUCUAGUUGCACCUUCGUGUUCUUUUACUAAUUUUUAUCCAUAUCAGUCGCAUGGUUACAGUUCAAUGAGUUGUGUCUGUUGCCCUUUUUAUUGAGAGCAUAAAGAUUGAUUAUGUAGUAAUAUGUUUAGCAGUUAAGAAUGUUGACUUGCUAGUGGUGUGCCUUUUUUUAGCCAUUGUCUAACUCCUUUUCUGCUUCAGAUUUGUAGAGUUGUUCCUAUGUUGGCUCGUUUUAAUUUCUAUUUCUCCUCUAUUCAGUUCUCUGGAGAAAUUUCAUUUGAAUUAAAAGAUCCAGCCUGCAUUUACGUGAUCUUAAAGAAGCCAGAUGACUUGAACGCACUUUCAGCGAAUAUCAUAAAAUGACUUUCUGAAGUAGAAAAUUCAAUGGUGCCCUGCAAGCCUCCUUCAAAUGCUCCCACCCCUUUUCCAUAAGUAGUGUUCUAUUUGUUUCUUAUCCAAACAUUAAAUGAAGUUAUUUGAGUAUCUAGGAUCUUUUUUUAAAAAAAAUUGUUAGCCAAUAUACUUCUGAAAAUAAUACGUGUUCCUAGUUCGUCGUAACCAAUCUGUGGUUCUUUGUUGUACAGAUCAGUAAACUGGAUGCUAUGUUUGAUCUAGCAAACUUUGCUGUCAAGGGGUGCCAUUCUUGGUUGACUUGGGCUCUCUUUAAUACCUUCGUAUCACAUGUUUUCUGUGAGUGAUGAAAGUAUUUCCACUGCUGGUGCUUUACGCCCAUGUUAAAUGCGAUUAGCCUUGUUUGUUUGCUUGAUAAGCUAUGACAGAAAGCAUUGUUCGCAGAUUUGUUGUGAGUGCUGAAUGGCUUUGCAUUCUUCAACCUGAAACUUGUGUUGUGGGCUUGUUGCUGUUGCUGACCACUUACCAUGAGUACCUGCACUUACCAUGCUCUUUCCAGAAGACGGCGAAACUCAGAACUCAGAAUAAGGUGAUCCCUGCAGCUGUCCUCUGCUAGGGUAGCGCAGUAGCACCUUCUGGUUUAGCUGUUCUUGGGACUUCUUUUUUUUCCUGGAAAUUCAUUUUUUCCGUCUUUCCAGCAUUUCUUUCUACAUGUUGAUGCAUCCAGCUACAGCUGUUUUAGCUCUAGCUAGCAUCCUUCGUGCAGACGGUGCAGUACUGUAUUCUGUAGCUGAGGUCAGGCCGUCAGGGUGUGAUGAGUUACGGUGCAGCACUGUAUUCUGUAGCAGUACAUGCUUGCCUUGCCCUGCCUUUCCCGGCUGGAGCUCGGCCAUUAGUUC